AAUGUACUCCCUUCAUCCUGAAAUACUUGUCGGAGAAAUGGACGUAUCUAGAUGUAUUUUAAUUCUAGAUACAUUCAAUUUUAUUUAUUUCUGCACCAAGUAAUUCCGGACGGAGGGAGUAGUGA
rfam:Triticum aestivum genome assembly, contig: Triticum_aestivum_CS42_TGACv1_scaffold_423277_5BS